rnacentral:rRNA from 1 species
UUUUUGGAGAGUUUGAUCCUGGCUCAGGACGAACGCUGGCGGCGUGCUUAACACAUGCAAGUCGAACGAAAAUACCAAGCUUGCUUGGUUGAUUAGUGGCGAACGGGUGAGUAACACGUGAGUAACCUGCCCCUUACUUUCCUGGAUAACUGCUCGAAAGGGUAGCUAAUACGGGAUAUUCUGACCAGCCCGCAUGGGUUGGUUUGGAAAGGUUGUUUUUCUGGUAAGGGAUGGGCUCGCGGCCUAUCAGCUUGUUGGUGGGGUGAUGGCCUACCAAGGCUUUGACGGGUAGCCGGCCUGAGAGGGUG